CUAGCAGUAUCAGAGUUGAUCCUGGCUCAGAUUGAACGCUGGCGGCAGGCCUAACACAUGCAAGUCGAGCGGAGGAAGGGAGCUUGCUCCUGGAAUCAGCGGCGGACGGGUGAGUAAUGCCUGGGAAUCUGCCUGGUAGUGGGGGAUAACGUCUCGAAAGGGACGCUAAUACCGCGUACGUCCUACGGGAGAAAGCAGGGGAUCUUCGGACCUUGCGCUAUCAGAUGAGCCCAGGCCGGAUUAGCUUGUUGGUGAGGUAAUGGCUCACCAAGGCGACGAUCCGUAGCUGGUCUGAGAGGAUGAUCAGCCACACUGGGACUGAGACACGGCCCAG
rnacentral:rRNA from 1 species